rnacentral:rRNA from 1 species
CGGAGUUGCUAGUAACCGCAGGUCAGCACACUGCGGUGAAUACGUUCUCGGGCCUUGUACACACCGCCCGUCACGUCAUGGGAGCCGGUAACGCCUGAAGUCGAUGGGCUAACCCGAAAGGGAGGCAGUCGCCGAAGGCGGGACCGGUGACUGGGACGAAGUCGUAACAAGGUAGCCGUACGGGAACGUGCGGCUGGAUCACCUCCUUUCUAAGGAG